ACGAACGCUGGCGGCGUGCCUAAUACAUGCAAGUUGAGCGAUGAAGAUUGGUGCUUGCACCAAUUUGAAGAGCAGCGAACGGGUGAGUAACGCGUGGGGAAUCUGCCUUUGAGCGGGGGACAACAUUUGGAAACGAAUGCUAAUACCGCAUAACAACUUUAAACAUAAGUUUUAAGUUUGAAAGAUGCAAUUGCAUCACUCAAAGAUGAUCCCGCGUUGUAUUAGCUAGUUGGUGAGGUAAAGGCUCACCAAGGCGAUGAUACAUAGCCGACCUGAGAGGGUGAUCGGCCACAUUGGGACUGAGACACGGCCCAAACUCCUACGGGAGGCAGCAGUAGGGAAUCUUCGGCAAUGGACGAAAGUCUGACCGAGCAACGCCGCGUGAGUGAAGAAGGUUUGCGGAUCGUAAAACUCUGUUGGUAGAGAAGAACGUUGGUGAGAGUGGAAAGCUCAUCAAGUGACGGUAACUACCCAGAAAGGGACGGCUAACUACG
rnacentral:rRNA from 1 species